GACGAACCGUGCGAACGUUGUUCGGAAUCACUGGGCUUAAAGGGCGCGUAGGCGGGCUCGCAAGUCAGGGGUGAAAGCCCGCGGCUCAACCGCGGAAGCGCCUUUGAUACUGCGGGCCUCGAGGGGGGUAGGGGCGUGCGGAACUUCCGGUGGAGCGGUGAAAUGCGUAGAUAUCGGAAGGAACACCGGUGGCGAAAGCGGCGCGCUGGACCCCUUCUGACGCUGAGGCGCGAAAGCCAGGGGAGCAAACCGG
rnacentral:rRNA from 1 species